GCGGUCUGUCAAGUCGGAUGUGAAAUCCCCGGGCUCAACCUGGGAACUGCAUUCGAAACUGGCAGGCUAGAGUCUUGUAGAGGGGGGUAGAAUUCCAGGUGUAGCGGUGAAAUGCGUAGAGAUCUGGAGGAAUACCGGUGGCGAAGGCGGCCCCCUGGACAAAGACUGACGCUCAGGUGCGAAAGCGUGGGGAGCAAACAGGAUUAGAUACCCUGGUAGUCCACGCCGUAAACGAUGUCGACUUGGAGGUUGUGCCCUUGAGGCGUGGCUUCCGGAGCUAACGCGUUAAGUCGACCGCCUGGGGAGUACGGCCGCAAGGUUAAAACUCAAAUGAAUUGACGGGGGCCCGCACAAGCGGUGGAGCAUGUGGUUUAAUUCGAUGCAACGCGAAGAACCUUACCUACUCUUGACAUCCAGAGAACUUUCCAGAGAUGGAUUGGUGCCUUCGGGAACUCUGAGACAGGUGCUGCAUGGCUGUCGUCAGCUCGUGUUGUGAAAUGUUGGGUUAAGUCCCGCAACGAGCGCAACCCUUAUCCUUUGUUGCCAGCGGUCCGGCCGGGAACUCAAAGGAGACUGCCAGUGAUAAACUGGAGGAAGGUGGGGAUGACGUCAAGUCAUCAUGGCCCUUACGAGUAGGGCUACACACGUGCUACAAUGGCGCAUACAAAGAGAAGCGACCUCGCGAGAGCAAGCGGACCUCAUAAAGUGCGUCGUAGUCCGGAUUGGAGUCUGCAACUCGACUCCAUGAAGUCGGAAUCGCUAGUAAUCGUAGAUCAGAAUGCUACGGUGAAUACGUUCCCGGGCCUUGUACACACCGCCCGUCACACCAUGGGAGUGGGUUGCAAAAGAAGUAGGUAGCUUAACCUUCGGGAGGGCGCUUACCACUUUGUGAUUCAUGACUGGGGUGAAGUCGUAACAAGGUAACCGUAGGGGAACCUGCGGUUG
rnacentral:rRNA from 1 species